UUUUUUCUAUUUUGGUCCAAUUGGUCCCAUACUUGGACCCUAUCCAAACAAGACAAAUAGCCAACAGGUUCUUCACCAUUUGCAGGAUUAUUGCAUCCCCUUGUCUGGGUACAAUGGAUCUAUGACUAUGAGAAGCCAUACCAAAACCUUAUCUUCACUGUCUUAUCAUGGUUAAUAUGGCCUUUCAUGAACUAAUGUUCAAAUACAGGGCAAAAUAGUCUAUAGAAGUUUAAGACACAGCCCCCUCAGCCCCAGGUUUUUGCUAGUUGCUAAAACAUUAUCCAUCAGUCCAUGCUCUUCAAUCUUCACAUGAAAGGAUUUAUAUAAAUACAUGACUCAGCAUUACAGCAUUCCAACAUCUUCAGAACCAUAUUUGAACUUGUCUUCUCAGAAGUCUCACUUCUUGAAGAGAACUUGUCUUAUAUUGUAUUUUCAGCAAAAAUCUCAAAAGUAUCCUCUGAAGUUCAGCACUUAGAUAUUAGAUAAACAAGAAAAUGAGUUCAACAAGCAGGGCUUGGAUAGCAGCACUGGGUGUGGGAGCAGUCCAGGCAAUGAGAUAUCAGGGAUUGUUCAGGUGGAAUCACACCAUAAGGUCAAUCCACCUGCAUGCCAAGAACAACCUCAGGUCCUUGUCUCAAUCCAAGCAGCUUUCUUCUUCUGCAUUUGUCUCAUCAAGGAAUAAAGCUGAAGAUCAAGAAAAACUAAAGGAGGCUGAAGAUUCAUUGAGGAAAGUCAUGUACUUGAGCUGCUGGGGACCAAAUUGAUUGAGCCCUCCAAAAGUAGUACUAGUUUGUAGUUGUUAGAUAUAGGAGGUGAUGUAAAGUUGAAGAUUUUGGUAAUAUUCUGGCUAAAAAAAUUGUAAAUUCUAAUAUUUAAGGCCUGCUAUGCCAAAUGAAUUGGAAUAGAAAAUUCAUGCCUUUUUUCAAAUAUAAUCUCUGUUAAUUUUUCUCAACUAAAUAUAUUGCAUUAGCCAUUGGAAUCUUGCGGAACGCAGAGUGGGAGAACCAACAAAGUGGACCAGUCGAGGCAGCCAUACUUCCAAAAUUCAUUUAUUUUCCUUUUCAAGAAAUGCUUAUUUUCAUAUAUGUCCUUAAAAUAAUAACAAAUAUAGUCCUUUUCACCAAAAUUUUCUCAAAAAUAUAAUAAUUAAGCUCCAAAAGCGAACCCCCUACUCCAAAAUGAGCGGUAUAGAAGCAAAUGAAUUUUUCCGAUGUUCUUUUUUUUUUUUUUUUUUGAAAGAAUUGCUAUGUUGUUGAAGGAAUUAAGCUCCAAAAGAGAACCCCUAUCUCAGUGUUUGGGUACCUAUGACAACUAACAAGUUACAAAACCAUGUGCUUAUUGUCAUUGUCAACUAUAACUAAUGUGUUUAUUUUUAUUUGUUAAGUAUCAUAACAUACUUAAAGAAGCACUCAAGACUAUUUCUUGUACAUGGAAGUCUAUGGUGGCAAUUCUCUUAAAAUUGACCCAACAUAACCACACAGAUGCUGCUCUGUUGUUGAGUGUUCUUUCUCCAUUUUAGAUUUUUCCCUUCAGUUUUUAAACAUUUUUCUACCCAACCCUCCCUCCCCCCCCCUCCCCAUUUAGUCUGUGGAUUCGGAGUUUCUGCACUCACCAAUAUCAAUUACAGUACACAAUGUAGACACUAUCACAAUAAAUAUAGGCAUUAACAUAUUAAAUAUAGAUACCAAGGGUGCGUUUGAUAAAACUGACAAUCUAAAACCUGAAUCCAUUAAGUUAUUGAAUUGUUAAAUAUUAAAUAUAAUACAUUUGAGUCUAUAUUACAUUUAGUGAUAAGUAAAUAACUUAUUAUUUAAUUUUCGGGGCAAGUUUUGCCUAGAAGAUUCAGUACAACUUAAUUAAUUCAGAUGUUUAAUUUUUAGUUAUCAAACGCGUCUGAACAUAUUAAGAUCUGAAUUUAUUAAGUUUAAGUGCUGAAUUGGGUUAUCAAACAAGGCCUAAGUUAGUAACAAGCAAAUCAUAAAAAAUUUUAGUGUUGAUUGAAAUUUGUGUUGCAAAAUUAAUCCCACAUCCAAAUUCAAAUUAAACCAAUAUGGGCUAGCAAUAGCAUGGUGCUAUUGAUUAACAAUUGUAGAAGUCCAAUUUCCUAAUUGUAGCAUAGAUGUCCACCUUAGACUUCUCCCUCCUGACUGUAAAUAGAAUAGAAUUCUCGUCCCAGAGAAAAUCAUAAACGUACACUGGAUAUAUACUUUGCUAACCAAGUAUGAAUAAAAUAUACAUAAAAAUGAAGUUGCAUUCAAAUGAAAUUAGUCUUCUACACACGUGACAUGGGUGCGAAUAAUCAGUAUUCUAAUAAUUUAUUACCCUCUCAAUGCUAAGUGAAGAAGAAGAUAGCAUUGGAUCACCAAAAAAAAAAAAAUUACAAUUUCUUCUUUUCUUUGCAUUGUUUGGUAAAAUAGGGAAAUAAAUAAUUCAAAAAUAGCCCACUUUACAUGUGGAUUACCACACCCUCCAAAGCCGGAAAAUGCCACAGCCCACCAUAAAAAAAAUCCCUGUAGCUGUUUUUGGAUUUGUUUUUGGAAGGUUUUUGGUUUGCAACAAUGCAUUUACACAAACACACAGAAACUCUAGAGAUGACAGAAUAUAAAUAUGACUUAACAUCCCAAUAGCUUCUGCAUCAAACACUCCUGAAAAAUCAAUCUGAAAACAUCUCUAGACUCUUAAACACUUCAUCAUCAACGAGGAAUUAAUCUUUCAGUUCUGCUACCUUCUUGCUGAAGAUGAGUUCAACAAGCAGGGAAUGGAUAGCAGCAGUAAGUGUAGGAGCAGUGGAGGCAAUGAAAGAUCAGGGAUUGAGUAGGUGGAACCACACAAUGAGAUCAAUGCACCAGCUUGCCAAGAACAACCUCAGGUCUUUGUCUCAGAACAAGCAGCUCUCUCCUGCACUGGCUUCAUCAAGCAGUAAAGCUAAAGAUCAAGAAAAGCUAAGGAGGUCUGAAGAGUCAUUCAGGAAAGUCAUGUACCUGAGCUGCUGGGGACCAAAUUGAUCGAGCCCCACCACUAAAACUACUAGGCAGUUUGUAAUUUUAAGAUACAUGGGGUGAUGUAAAACUGGAAAUUUUGGUAAUUUCCUAGCUACAAAAUUGUAAAUUUAAAAUUUGAGGCCCUUUUUUGCAAUGAAUUUGAAUAGAAAAUCCAUUUCUUUGUUAAAUUACGGGUUCUGUUAUUAUUCCUUAACUAAAUUAAUUGCAUUAGCAUCUCACGGAGCAGCAGAACUGCUUCAUUUUCCUUUUCAAGAAAUGCGUAAAUAUCCUUCAAGUAAUAAGAAUUAUUGUCCAUUUCACCAAAAAUUUCUCAAAUGCACGAGUAAACUCCAAAAAAGAAUGUUGUUUCUUUUUUUUUCCCCCGGUUGAAUCUAGAACGUUGUUGAUACUUGAUUGGUUAAUAUAUAGGAGCUAUCUAAACGGAGAGAAAAUACUCUCAUAUGUAAAUCCAAGACUUAGAUAGACUACAGAAAGUGUUACUUCUGGCGCAUACUACGUCUCCGUCCCAAAAUUCUAACAAGACAAAUGGCCAUUGGCCAACAGCUUCUUUGUAAUUCCAAGUUGCUAUCGCACUGUCUGGGUACAGUGCACCUAUUACAACUAACUAGUUAUAAAACCGGGUGCUCAUUCAUUGUCAACCAUGUACAGCUAGUUUUGUUAUGUUCACUCCCAUAGAUGUGAUUAACUACCGCAUUACAGGGGAAGCAUUACAAUGAUGUAUUUAGCCCAACUCGGGUAGCUCGAGUGAUUUCGUUGCUCCUCUUUAGAAUAUGGCGACCACGGUUUGAGUCCCGAGGAAAUCGUGUUCGAAAGGAACGGGUCUCUCUUCUCGGGUCACAGGAGGAGUAGUAGGGCCGAAGGCCCGGAUACCCCUAGAUCAGAAAAAAAAAAUUACAAUGAUGUAUUUAUCUGAUUUGGAGGUUCGCUCUCCAACUCUUUUGCAAUGGAGUAUUGUGCUUCCUUUCUUUAUAAAAUUCAGAGCACAGUAAUGCAUUUAUCUGAAUUGGAGGUUUGCUCUCCAACUCUUAUACAAAUCCAGUUAGGCUCAUCCUCUCUCUUAUAGUGUAGCAGCAGUCUUCAUCGUUGUAUCCAAAAUUAAUCUCUUUUAUUCAAAUUCAAAUUAACCUGAUAUGCUCCAUCGAUUGCUUGCUUGGUGCUAUUGAUCUGAUAAUUGCAGGAAACAAGUCCCCUAUUUUGUACAAUGAAAGUGUGAUAGAGACGUCAAUCGUAAACUUUUCCAUCCUAAUUAUAGACAGGAUUGUAGUCAUCCAAGAGAAAAUCUCAAAUAUACAUUGAAUAUGUUUGCUUAUUGAUUAUGAACAAAACAAAUAAAAGUAAAGUUGUAUCUGAAUGGAAUUAGCCUUUUGUAUAUGUGACAUGGGUACAAGUAAUCAAUAACUCCUAAUGAUUGAUUACCCUCUCAAUGCUAAGUCAAGAAGAAGAUAGUUUAGAUAGAGUAUUAUUUGAAAUAAUUAUUAUAGCAUUUUUUAUGAUGUGCACAUGAGAUUAAAAAAUAGUUGAAAACAUUAACAAUUAUGGUUAAAAAAUAUAUUUAUGAUGCUAACAAAAUAAUAUUUAGGUAUAAUUUCAGAAACCUUCCUUGGGGUUUUUGACAAUUACACAUAAAUACUCUCCAAUAUCAAAAAUUACAGUGCCCUCCCCUUAAUUGACAUAUUUGAUAACAAAUUAAGUCCAUGUUAGAAAAAGUACUCUUAAAGUAAUGAAUCAGUUUUGUCAAACAAUUAUAUUUCAAGUUUGCCCUCAUUGAAUCUUAAAGAAAAUAAGUUAAAAUUUUGGGCAAGAAAAAUGGCAAUAAAAAAAGGAAGAAAAAUUGGCACCAAGUUCAUCCGCUAAGGACAUGAAAUUAACAUUAAACAAAUCAGCAUUUUGGACAGCAAAGUCCUACAAGAAUUGAUGGUACUUUGUGGACAAUAUAUAGCAUAAAAUGCUAGUGAAUGAGCACAAAAAAAAAAAAGAGGCCAAUUUCAACUGAAUACAAAGGCAAUGAAAGAAACAUGUCUUCAUCAAACUAUCGUCGGAGCUCAUUUCAUGCAGGCACAUCAUUGAGGAUGAAAAAUAGAAACUAUAAUGGGUGUGGAUGGAAAGCAACAAUUAAAAUUUUUUAAAGCAAAAAAAAAAAUUCCUGGCAGGUUAUAUUUUGGUUGUUCUAAGUAUGGCUAUUUCAAGUGGUUUGAUGGCAAUGUAGCCAAAGAAGUGAGUAGUCGAAGACAAGAAGAUCCAACACAAGUUCAAAUAUCAAAAAGCAUUGGCAACAAUGUAGUGUCACCGACCCAAAUAUUGAUAAUGAUCAACAUGAGUUUACUAAUUAUAUUCAUUUUCAUUCAAAUUGUAAAGUUCAUUUGAAAUAUGGAUAUAAUUGUAAGAAUGUACCACAAAAAGUGUCUUGGUAGUUAUAUAGUGGCAGAACUAAAAGGCCAUAAAACGGUGGAUUUAAAUUCAUCUAUGAUAUUUAGUAAGAGUUUAUCUACUGUGAUUCAAAAUCAAAGAUUCUAGAUGUACAAAGCACUAUAAACUAAAUAAACUAAAACAAGUCUUAAAUAUAAUAAACAACAAGGUCAUACACUUCAAACUGGUUGAAUACCCAUAACAAGCAAUCCAAGGCAAGAAAAACAUGUCAACAAGGUUAUACACUUAAUGGCGCCAAAUUGCAUAUAAAAAUACUAUACUUGGAAAACUAGUCUUUUCCCCAUAUUUUUAGUAUUUUAGGGAUUGAUUUUGUGGGCUGUUGAAUAUGACAACCGGUCAUAUCAAAGUGAAAGAGGAGGGCACUGUAAUUUUUUAUAUUGGAAGGUAUUUAUGUGUAAUUGUCAGAAACUUCAGGGGAGGUUUCUGAAAUUAUCCCUAAUAUUUAUACUAUAUAUAAAGGGAGCCUUAAAUUUGAUGUAAACUUUUUUUUGUCAUCUUUUAGAUUUCCAGCUUCACCCUCUCGAUCACUUAAUUAUACCACCAUAUUGCUAAUCAACUUAACCACAAAUUAACUUUCACCCCAAUUAUCUAAAUAUAUAUUGCCUACAUAACUACCUACAAACAUUGUAACCAACAAGUUAAUUAAAAUUCUAUUAAAGAACUAUUUUUUUGACAAAUAUUCAAAAAACUAGUAAAAGAUCAAAAUUUACUUGUUCAUGUAUGAAAAUUUUAUACUAAAUUCUUUCAUAUAAAGGAUCGUUCCGAAAUUCCACAUACAUCGAGUGUGCCUUUAUCGCUAAUUUGAGAUAAUAUGUGUAUCCAAACAUAGUAAUAAUUUCUUCUAUUCUUUGCUUUGUUCGGUAAAAUGGAUUAAAAAAGCAAAUGAAAAAUACCCCACUCGACCUUUACAAAACCGCCCUCCCCAAAGUCAGUGGAUAAAUACCACAGCCCAUGAGCCCACUAGAAAUUUAAAAAACCAUAAACUCCAAGACCACUGGAAAAGCACCCAGCCCCUGGUUUCUGCAACAACUUAUUUACACAAACUUUUGAGAUGACAGAAUAUAAAUAUGGCUGAACUCCCCAACAACAUCAGCACCAAAGAACAUCUUCUCAGAAUUCAGAAAAACAUCUCUAGUACUCAACCAAGCUUCAAGAGUUCCAGAAAGACUCCAUCAUCAACAAGGAAUCUUUACAGUUUUAAAAUUUAUUCUUGCUGAAAAUGAGUUCAACAAGCAGGGCGUGGAUAGCAGCGGUGAGUGUAGGCGCAGUGGAGGCAAUGAAAGAUCAGGGAUUGAAUAGGUGGAACCACACCAUGAGGUCUGUACACCAGCUUGCCAAGAACAACCUCAGGUCCCUGUCUCAGACCAAGCAGCUUUCUCCUUCUGCAUUGGCUUCAUCAAGCAGUAAAGCUAAAGAUCAAGAAAAACUAAAGAAGUCUGAAGAAUCAUUAAGGAAAGUCAUGUACUUGAGCUGCUGGGGACCAAAUUGAUUGAGCCCCCCAUUAGUACUACUAUUUGUAAUUUUUUUUACAUACAUGGGGCGAUGUAAAACUGGAAAUUUUGGUAAUUUUGUACCCACAAAAUUGUAAAUUUUAAAAUUUAUGGCAUUUUUUGCCCAAUGAAUUGGAAUAGAAAAUUGAUGUGUUCUUUAAUGUGCAAUUUCAGUUUAGCAUUUCUUAAUGGGGUUAACUGCAUUAGCAUCUCGAGGAGGUGUGAUAGAUUAAAAUUGAUUAGAUUAAAAUGUAGGUUAAUCCAAGCCGCCUUAAUUGACAAGAGAAAUAAAGAGUGACAAAAUUGUGGGGUCAAUGUAUUGGCAAACAACGCAUGAUUGAGUAUAACACAGACGACUUCAUUAAGCAGUAUUAUUAGUAGUUUAGGCCCGAGAUAUUCACCUUUUUUGUUUUGUCAAAACCCGAGGAUAUUCACUUGGCUUUAUUGGAUCCGUAUUUUCUCAAUGUACUUUAGGCUUCCAAAGAGGCUAAUAAGAUUGAGUAUUGUUUAACUCAUCAUGCAAAAACUGCCAAUCUUCUUAAAAAUCUAUGGAAUUCAUCGCCAAGUUUUGUCAAGUAAAUCGUGUUGAACGAUAUCUACCAAUCUCAUUAAUAAAGUUUCCUGUUUUAUAAAAAAAAAAAAAAAAAAAGUAUUACCAUCUACUACAUGGCCUCAUUUUUAGACUGAUUUUCAAAACUUGAUUUUAGAUUUUAAUUUUAAAAAAAUUAUUUUAUUGUGUUCUCAAUUGCUGUUCAUAUUUUGAUUUUGAGUUUUUUUAGCUUUAAAAAAUUAAAAAUUAGAAGCAUCUAUUUUGAUAUUUUUUAUUUUAAUUUUCCAAAAUUAGUUCUUAUACAAUCAAAAACAGUUGGGAACAAGGCCAAUAACUUGUUUGUCUAUUUUUAUUCAAUAGGAAGGACUUAUGUUCUCAUUGUUAAUUACUUCAAGUAUUAACAAUGCUUGCACUCAAGAUUAAAUCUCUUAUACUUGAAAGUCUGUUGUGGCUAAUUCUCAUAGAAUUAAAUUAACCCAUAGUAGCCAUACACUUGUUCUUCUAUUUUUAAGAUUUUGGAAUUUUCGCGUGGGUACUUAGGUGAUUUUUAUACACGCGCCACUUUGUACAAUGACCAUAACUUACAAGUUCGCCUUAAACCUUUUUUUUUUUUUUUUUGGAAGGAAUUCACCUUAAACGUUUCUCUCGUAAUAUUUAGAAUUAUAGUUCUCGUCAUUCUUGAGAAAAUAAAAGUAUACAUCAAAUAUGUACGUUGCUAACCAAUUAUGAAUAAAGUAAAUAAAACUAAAGGUCUACUAAAAUGGAAAUAAGAUUGCACAUAACGCAUUAUGCAAAUUUUGCCUUUUUGAAUGUCUUAGAAUUUUCUUCCGUCAAGAAAGCAGUGGUGAACAAUUUUCAACAAUCUUAUUGAUAAAACUCUUUUGUUAUAUUAAAAAAAGUUAUUAAAAUGGAAUUAGUCCUUUGUAUAUUUGACUGGGGGUGCCAAUUGGGAUUUCGUAAUCAGGUUUUAACAAAUCCAAAUUCGAUUCACAAAUGAUAUAGGUUUUUUGAUCUUCGGGCAUUCGGGUUUGAAGUUCAAAUUAAAAGGUUCGAUCUCAAUUCUCAUUGUUAAAUGAGUUUCAGGUUCAAAUCAGACUUGACUCAAACUCAUAGUUAAAUACAAAAUUAUAUAUAAUAUAUUUAUAAUUAUGAAUCACUAUAAAUUUAUAUAUAAAUUAUUAUGUCAUAGAUAUUUAUAAUUACACACACACAUUCAUAUAUGAGCCGGGUAUUAGCUGUGUUCGAUUCUAGCAUGAUUCAAAUUCGAUUUUACAUUUAGGGUGUAUUUGAUAAAAUUGAAAUCUGAAAUCUGAAUCCAUUAAGUUAUUAAAUUAUUAAGUAUUAAAUCUAAUACAUUUCAAUGCAUAUCACAUUCAACGAUAAGUUAAUAACUUAUCACUUAAUUUUGGGAGCAAGUUUUAAUUAGAAAAUCUAAUACCACUUAAUUAAUUCAAAUGUUCAAUUUUUUUUAUCAUCAAAUAAUCUGAAUAUAUUAAGAUCUGAUUCCAUUAAGUUUAAGGGUUGAAUUUGAUUAUCAAAUAGGGCCUUAGUUCCGGUCUAAUAUUAAGGCUAAACUCUAUCUAGUCCAAAUAAAAAUUAGUCCAGCGGUUUUUUUGAGCCAAAUAAGCCGAGCUCGAACUGUUCUAAUCCCAUUGACAACCCUAUAUUUGACAUGGGUACGACUAAUCAGUAACUCCAAAUAAUUUAUUACCCUUUCAAUGCUAAGUGAAGAAGAAGAUAACAAUUCCCUCUUUUCUUCUUAUCUUUCAAUGCUACGUAAUUCCAAAAUUGGCCGCUUGAUUUCCUGGAAACCGUGCUCUCCAGAGCCAGUUGAGCACGCCACAGCCCUGAGCCCACAAGAACUUUAAAAAACCACACUCUCCUAGACCACUGGAAAGCUACAGAGCCCCUGGUUUUUUGCAACAAUCAUCAUACACAAACACACACAAACUUCAGAGAAUCUGUGUAUAUAUAUGACUGAACCUCCCAACAGCUCCAUCACCAAACACAUCUUCUUCUCAGAAUUCUAAAAGCAUCUGCAGCACUCAACUAAAGACUUGUAUCAUCAACAAGGAGUCAAUCUUUCAGUUUAACUACGUUCUUGCUGAAAAUGAGUUCAACAACCAGGGCAUGGAUAGCAGCAGUAAGUGUAGGAGCAGUGCAGGCAAUGAAAGAUCAGGGACUGUACAGGUGGAACCACACCAUUAGGUCAAUGCAGCAGCUUGCCAAGAACAACCUCAGGUCCUUGUCUCAGACCAAGCAGCUCUCUCCUGCAUUGGCUUCAUCAAGCAUUAAAGUUAAAGAUCAAGAAAAAAUUAGGCAGUCUGAAGAAUCAUUAAGGAAAGUCAUGUACUUGAGCUGUUGGGGUCCAAAUUGAUUGAGCCCCCCCACUAGUACUAUUUAGUUUUGUAAUUUUAGAUAUAUGGGGUGAUGUAAAACUGGAAAUUUUGGUAAUUUUCUACCUACAAAAUUGUAAAUUAUAUGAUUUUAAGACAUUUUUUGCAAAUGUCUUUCUUUAAAUAUGGUCUCUAUAAUCACUGCUUAGUUGAAUUAAUUAAUUGCAUUAGCAUCUCAAUGGGUGGCAGAGUUAAUGGGGUUGAGCUCAGGCAGCCAUACCACCAAAAUUGGUAUAUUUUGCUAUUGAAGAAAUGCGAAUUUUGCUAUAUAUCCUCCAUGUCAUAAAAAAAAUUCUUCCCUUUCACCAAAAUUUUCAUGGCGACACAAGUAAACUCCAGAAGAGAACUCCUAGCCCCAGGUAUGGAUGCUUGCCUUUGGAAUUAUCAAGAAUUUGCUUUCCACUGAUCUCGCCAAAGAAUAUGUAUGAGGUUUUUCUUCCUUUUUUUUUUUGGUUUAAUAAAAGAGUGAUACGUUAUUUUUUAUGCUCGAC
rnacentral:lncRNA from 1 species